CUUAUGAGUUUGGAUGAACUACAGUCUUUUUAGAGUUUCGCUUGGGAGUUCGCACUGAUGAGGAAAGGCAUUUAACACUUGGCAUGUGAUGAGGAUAAUGCCGCCUGCUUAUCGCUGAGUUGCCUUUUGCUUCCUGAUACGGAGAUGUUUGUUGCAGUUUGCGAAGCGAUAGCAGCUCUUUUGUUCACAAACAUCUUCCUGCAUUUGGCUGAACCGGAGAGAACACAGGGAGUGAGGGGAAUUACACAGUGAACAGCGCAGCAGUGGAUGGGAAGCAGAAAGAUUAUGGAUCGAACCAGGACGUGUUCCACUGUCUGGAAUCAUUUUGGAAUCAUCUUUUGACUUCGAAUAAGGUGUGUGCUGCUGAAAUGAGGAGCCAUGAGCCUGACCCAGCAGAAGAAGAACCUAGCACGGAGAACCUAGCACAUGGAUCAGAACCCAGGUCAGGGCACAAUCUCUGGAAACCUCUGGAUAUGGAGGUUGAGGGGAAAAAGAAAACAACUAAAACGACAGCAGAUUCCAUAAUUGAGGUCCAACGCUACCUGGCUGAAAGU